rnacentral:lncRNA from 1 species
AAAGGGGCAAAAGUCAAAAACUAAAACCUGAAGGUUGCCCUACUUCCUUGCCUAUAAAGGCAUGCUUUCUUGCAUUUGAUGAAAAAAGGAGAAAAAACUUCAAAGAAUACAGAUGGCUAAGUAUUCUACUGAAAUUCACUGUUUCAUUGAGUGUUUUUUUUUUGUGAUUUCUUAUAUUUCUAAUUCCUGAAAUGAGUUUUGAUUUAUCUGAGGGUUGAAAUGGUUUGAUUUUGGGAGGCUUAAGAGUUAUUUUUGGAGUUCUGGUCGAUUUUGGUUAAUUAUUGCACAUCAUUUUCUGGAGUUGAGCUAGUUUCGCUAAGAAUCAUUGUUGUAUUGUUUUUCCUAUUGAUUUCUGUUGCCUUUGCUCGAUUAUAGCUAAUGUUUCUUCACCUUUGUUUCCUGUGUCAUUUCCAGGUAUUCCCCGAUCAUAUGGAUGCCUUUGAUUUAGCUCGAAGUAUGAACUUGAAAAUGAGAUAAUUCUUAUAUUGAGAAUUUGAAUCAUCUUCUCUUCUUUCAACUUAGUAAUUAACUUGUAAUAUUUGGUUUGAGAAAGAUUAUGAUGGAUGUACUUAUUUAAGAGUGAGUUGUAAUUGGAGUUUUGAUCAUGUUGAUUGGUAAAUGCUAUCCUCUUACAAUUUGGU